rnacentral:rRNA from 1 species
UACAGAGGGUGCAAGCGUUAAUCGGAAUUACUGGGCGUAAAGCGUGCGUAGACGGUUAUGUAAGUCAGAUGUGAAAUCCCCGGGCUUAACCUGGGAACUGCAUUUGUGACUGCAUGGCUGGAGUGCGGCAGAGGGGGAUGGAAUUCCGCGUGUAGCAGUGAAAUGCGUAGAUAUGCGGAGGAACACCGAUGGCGAAGGCAAUCCCCUGGGCCUGCACUGACGCUCAUGCACGAAAGCGUGGGGAGCAAACAGG